AGUGAACGCUGGCGGUAGGCCUAACACAUGCAAGUCGAACGGCAGCACAGUAAGAGCUUGCUCUUACGGGUGGCGAGUGGCUGACGGGUGAGGAAUACAUCGGAAUCUACUUUUUCGUGGGUGAUAACGUAGGGAAACUUACGCUAAUACCGCAUACGACCUACGGGUGAAAGCAGGGGAUCUUCGGACCUUGCGCGAUUGAAUGAGCCGAUGUCGGAUUAGCUAGUUGGCGGGGUAAAGGCCCACCAAGGCGACGAUCCGUAGCCGGUCUGAGAGGAUGAUCAGCCACACUGGAACUGAGACACGGUCCAGACUCCUACGGGAGGCAGCAGUGGGGAAUAUUGGACAAUGGGCGCAAGCCUGAUCCAGCCAUACCGCGUGGGUGAAGAAGGCCUUCGGGUUGUAAAGCCCUUUUGUUGGGAAAGAAAAGCAGCAGGUUAAUACCCCGCUGUUCUGACGGUACCCAAAGAAUAAGCACCGGCUAACUUCGUG
rnacentral:rRNA from 1 species